UACUAUCCAGCGAAACCAC
rnacentral:snRNA from 1 species